AGCGAACGCUGGCGGCAGGCCUAACACAUGCAAGUCGAGCGGCCACCCAUGAGGAGUCAGCGGCAGACGGGUGAGUAACGCGGGGGAACGUGCCCUACAGUGCGGAAUAACUUAUGGUAACUUGUGCUAAUACCGGAUACAUGCUAGUGCAGAAUGUUUUAUCUGCCGAAGGACCGGCCCGCGUCUGAUCAGGCGGGUGGGGAUGUUACGGCUCAGCAAGGCGACGUUCAGUAGCUGGUCGGAGAGGAUGGUCAGCCACACUGGGGCUAGGACGCGGCCCGGACUCCUGCGGGAUGCGGCAGUGCGGAAUCCUGCACUAUGGCGGCAGUCCUGAACGAGCCAGGCCGCGUGAGUGAUUAUGGCCUUAGAGUUGUACAGCUCUUUUCUCCGGGACGAUACUGACGGUACCGGAAGAAUAAGCACCGGCUAACUUCGUG
rnacentral:rRNA from 1 species